UACGUAGGGGGCGAGCGUUGUCCGGAAUUAUUGGGCGUAAAGAGCGUGUAGGCGGUUCGGUAAGUCUGCCGUGAAAACCUGGGGCUCAACCCCGGGCGUGCGGUGGAUACUGCCGGGCUAGAGGGUGGUAGAGGCGAGUGGAAUUCCUGGUGUAGCGGUGAAAUGCGCAGAUAUCAGGAGGAACACCUAUUGCGAAGGCAGCUCGCUGGGACGUAACUGACGCUGAGACGCGAAAGCGUGGGGAGCAAACAGG
rnacentral:rRNA from 1 species